UGGGAUCCACUCAUGUGAAAUCGUGUGCAGAUUUGCAAGUGGAAACACAAGUCAUCAUUAGUCAGUAAUUUCCCGAAUUCUGCAUCAAUAUGGCUUUGCAGUGUUGAUGAAUGAAGUGGGCAAAGGCUUCCAUGGCAAGGUUGGAGGAACUUUUCAGGUUCUGAGGUUUCCAACAAGCAACCAAUGGAGAUGUGGCUCGAAU
rnacentral:lncRNA from 1 species